rnacentral:rRNA from 1 species
UACGUAGGUGGCAAGCGUUGUCCGGAUUUACUGGGCGUAAAGAGCGCGCAGGCGGCUGGUCAAGUCCGAUGUGAAAUCUCCCGGCUUAACUGGGAAACUGCAUCGGAAACUGAUCGGCUUGAAGGUGGGAGAGGGUAGUGGAAUUCCCGGUGUAGUGGUGAAAUGCGCAGAUAUCGGGAGGAACACCAGUAGCGAAGGCGGCUCGCUGGGCCGUUCCUGACGCUGAGACGCGAAAGCUAGGGGAGCGAACAGG